GAGAAGCCCAGGCAGUUGAGGACAGGAGAGAGAAGGCUGCAGACCCAGAGGGAGGGAGGACAGGGAGUCGGAAGGAGGAGGACAGAGGAGGGCACAGAGACGCAGAGCAAGGGCGGCAAGGAGGAGACCCUGGUGGGAGGAAGACACUCUGGAGAGAGAGGGGGCUGGGCAGAGAUGAAGUUCCAGGGGCCCCUGGCCUGCCUCCUGCUGGCCCUCUGCCUGGGCAGUGGGGAGGCUGGCCCCCUGCAGAGCGGAGAGGAAAGCACUGGGACAAAUAUUGGGGAGGCCCUUGGACAUGGCCUGGGAGACGCCCUGAGCGAAGGGGUGGGAAAGGCCAUUGGCAAAGAGGCCGGAGGGGCAGCUGGCUCUAAAGUCAGUGAGGCCCUUGGCCAAGGGACCAGAGAAGCAGUUGGCACUGGAGUCAGGCAGGUUCCAGGCUUUGGCGUAGCAGAUGCUUUGGGCAACAGGGUCGGGGAAGCAGCCCAUGCUCUGGGAAACACUGGGCACGAGAUUGGCAGACAGGCAGAAGAUGUCAUUCGACACGGAGCAGAUGCUGUCCGCGGCUCCUGGCAGGGGGUGCCUGGCCACAAUGGUGCUUGGGAAACUUCUGGAGGCCAUGGCAUCUUUGGCUCUCAAGGUGGCCUUGGAGGCCAGGGCCAGGGCAAUCCUGGAGGUCUGGGGACUCCGUGGGUCCACGGAUACCCCGGAAACUCAGCAGGCAGCUUUGGAAUGAAUCCUCAGGGAGCUCCCUGGGGUCAAGGAGGCAAUGGAGGGCCACCAAACUUUGGGACCAACACUCAGGGAGCUGUGGCCCAGCCUGGCUAUGGUUCAGUGAGAGCCAGCAACCAGAAUGAAGGGUGCACGAAUCCCCCACCAUCUGGCUCAGGUGGAGGCUCCAGCAACUCUGGGGGAGGCAGCGGCUCACAGUCGGGCAGCAGUGGCAGUGGCAGCAAUGGUGACAACAACAAUGGCAGCAGCAGUGGUGGCAGCAGUGGCAACAGUGGUGGCAGCAGAGGUGACAGCGGCAGUGAGUCCUCCUGGGGCAGUUCUGGGAAUGGUGACCAAGGCAGCUACGGCCGCUCCCAGGGAUCCAGCACCGGCUCCUCCUCCGGCAACCACGGUGGGAGCGGCGGAGGAAAUGGACAUAAACCCGGGUGUGAAAAGCCAGGGAAUGAAGCCCGCGGGAGCGGGGAAUCUGGGAUUCAGGGCUUCAGAGGACAGGGAGUUUCCAGCAACAUGAGGGAAAUAAGCAAAGAGGGCAAUCGCCUCCUUGGAGGCUCUGGAGACAAUUAUAGGGGGCAAGGGUCGAGCUGGGGCAGUGGAGGAGGUGACGCUGUUGGUGGAGUCAAUACUGUGAACUCUGAGACGUCUCCUGGGAUGUUUAACUUUGACACUUUCUGGAAGAAUUUUAAAUCCAAGCUGGGUUUCAUCAACUGGGAUGCCAUAAACAAGAACCAGGUCCCGCCCCCCAGCACCCGAGCCCUCCUCUACUUCAGCCGACUCUGGGAGGAUUUCAAACAGAACACUCCUUUCCUCAACUGGAAAGCAAUUAUUGAGGGUGCGGACGCGUCAUCACUGCAGAAACGUGCAGGCAGAGACGAUCAGCCGGGUGCAGGAUGGCAGGAGGUGGCAGCUGUAACUUCCAAGAACUACAAUUACAACCAGCAUGCGUAUCCCACUGCCUAUGGUGGGAAGUACUCAGUCAAGACCCCUGCAAAGGGGGGAGUCUCACCUUCUUCCUCGGCUUCCCGGGUGCAACCUGGCCUGCUGCAGUGGGUGAAGUUUUGGUAGGUGAGUGUCAGAGUGAGCCGACCCAGGCCACAUCCUGGCAGUGGAGGCACAGUCACCCGGGGCAGGGCCAGGAUCUUGGUAUAUCCUCAGAUCUCAGUGGGCAGCGACAUGAAGUCAGGCAAUUUCUUGCAACCACCACCGAGGCCCCGAAAAGCACUGGUCGUCAGGGAGCUCCUCCCCUUGGCCCCCAGCCUGUGCCAGCCCUGGCCCGGCUGCCACACCUCUGUUUCCUAGGCUGGGGACCCAGCUUGUCUCUCCUUGUUUCUUCCCACUGCACUGUGGUGCUUCAGUGGCCACCAGCCUCGUCACAUACACCAGCAUCUUUCUGUACCUCCUCCCUUUGGUGACCUGAAGUCACUGUGACAGUUCUCCAGGAAGGAGGAGCUUCCUACUUUUGAGUUUCUCUGUGGAAAUAAAACAUGAAUCUUGUUUCCCUA